rnacentral:lncRNA from 1 species
CCCCUGCUGUCCUGCGCGCGCGCACAGGGAGGGGGCUGCCCAGAUGAGGGGCGGACCGAGGUCUGGGUUUCUUCUCCAGGCCGGUCUUGACUGGCUUCCUUGAGCCACCGUCAGAUAUUUACUUAACCUUGCAGUUCAGCCUCCCGGGGGCCUGCGGGAGGGUUAAAGCCCAGAAAGGGCCGGGCUGAACGUGUCCUCAGACUGGGAGGUGUCAGACUCCGAUCCUCUCAUUGCCCCCGCAAGUAUAUCCGGAGGAUUCCUCCAAUCGCUCUCUCCUGGAAGACCACUCCCAGCACCCUACUAGCAUCCCCACUUCCAGCCCCUGCCUGGAGAGGAAGAUGAGGGGGUCCCUGCUGGGACCUUGCCAGCCCCUGUACCAGACAUGGGAGCCUUUGCCCUGCUCUGCCCAGACAGCCUCUGUGGGCUCAGGGAGCCAAAGCAGGGAUCCACUCACAAGGAUUCAGCAGAGCCCAGAUUCUGAAGCUGGAAGGAGAGAGGAAAGGUGGGGGAACUCCAUCUCCAAACUUGGCAUGGUCUCAGCGUUGUCGGAGGACUUUUGAGGGAAGGAGGAGGAGGAGAAGGACGACGACGACGACGACAACGACGACGACAACGCAGGGUGUGUGCUGCGCGUGGCCCUUGCCUCUGCCCUGCCACUGGCUCCUGUUGCAGUGCCUGGUCUCCCCGCCUGCCUCUCCCAUCCCUACCCGCAGCCCCAUCCUGCCCAUCUGCGAGGAGCUGUCCCAUAUGUGUGUCCCCUCCACCCGAUCCCAUUCUCCUUCCCUGUUGGUCAGGGCCCAGGUGCUCCUGCUGCCCCAAGGAGCCCGGCGGCAGGAGGCAUGGACGUGGGGGCUGUCGGGCUGGCCCGAGUGCUCUGGCGAGCAGGCCUCGGGGUGGGAAGACUUCUCGCUGCUGCCCCUGAGAGGGCCCCGUCUUGGUGAGUGCAGCCUGGAGAUGAAGCUGAGGACAGAGGCCACACUGCACCCCAGCCCAGCCCUGCCCUGCACUGCACCCCUCACACCUUGCCCUCCUUGACAUCCGCCUCUUUGGGGAACCCUCCCUGGCCAGGUUCCCACCAGAAGACCCCCAAGGCCAGGCCUCAGGCCUCCCCUUCAAGACUGACAGUCUCCCAGGGCCUGUGACAGCCAAGCCCCACGACGCUGUGGCCUCUCAUUGCCCACAACUGCACCAAGAGUUCAGCUCUCAGAGGUGGCCAGGUGCCCCCUGCUAGGGGGCCCUCCCACGGCCCUAGUGCCCGGAACAGUCCCUUUCUCCAAAAUAAAUAUUUUUGUUAGACCAGCAACAGCUGUGGCACUUUCUGCAGUCCCCAAAGAGAAGACAGGCACAACCCCAGGCACCCUCAGAUGCCUUAGUUCAGUUCAUCUUCACAGCAGCCUGAAAG